GCUCGAUGAGCAAUUAAUUUAAACAACACACCGCGCCGAAAUUUAAAUUUUUGGGGUGUUCAACGUAGCCAUGUUGAUAUUGUACAGAAGGAAAGUUCGGAAAAGAGUGUCGCGAAAAGGAGAAUCAUGACUAGCUUUGGAUCGAAUUUCUGUUUUGACAGAAGAUGAAGACAUUUUACGACUCGGUACUGCGUUGCAUGCAGUGGACUGUGCCCGAGACGAUUCCCACUGCGCCGGCGAAUAGUCAGCUUGUAAAAAUGGAAUCUGAAUGCUCACAAGAAGGACAAAAGCAGUAUGAAAAUUAACACAAAGAAAUUGUGCCAGAAAAGUUUGAAGUGUCUAUGGGAAUGAUCAACAAUGAACAUUGAACUUUCUGAGCCUUUGUACUUAAAGUGAAUCCGUUCGUGACAUGACCAGUUAUUUGGCUACCCUCUAACAUAACGCCAUCUUUUAUUUAUUUAUUAUUGUGAAUUUCAUGGGAUAUCA